AACUGUGGCGGAGGCCUAACACAUGCAAGUCGAGCGCUCACUUCGGUGGGAGCGGCGGACGGGUUAGUAACGCGUGGGAACGUGCCCAGAUCUAAGGAAUAGCCACUGGAAACGGUGAGUAAUACCUUAUACGCCCUUCGGGGGAAAGAUUUAUCGGAUUUGGAUCGGCCCGCGUUAGAUUAGAUAGUUGGUGGGGUAAUGGCCUACCAAGUCUACGAUCUAUAGCUGGUUUUAGAGGAUGAUCAGCAACACUGGGACUGAGACACGGCCCAGACUCCCACGGGAGGCAGCAGUGGGGAAUCUUGGACAAUGGGGGCAACCCUGAUCCAGCCAUGCCGCGUGAGUGAUGAAGGCCUUAGGGUCGUAAAGCUCUUUCGCCAGGGAUGAUAAUGACAGUACCUGGUAAAGAAACCCCGGCUAACUCCGUGCCAGCAGCCGCGGUAAUACGGAGGGGGUUAGCGUUGUUCGGAAUUACUGGGCGUAAAGCGCGCGUAGGCGGAUUGGAAAGUUGGGGGUGAAAUCCCGGGGCUCAACCCCGGAACUGCCUCCAAAACUAUCAGUCUAGAGUUCGAGAGAGGUGAGUGGAAUUCCGAGUGUAGAGGUGAAAUUCGUAGAUAUUCGGAGGAACACCAGUGGCGAAUGCGGCUCACUGGCUCGAUACUGACGCUGAGGUGCGAAAGUGUGGGGGAGCAAACAGGAUUUAGAUACCCUGGUAAGUCCACCACCGUAAACGAUGAUUGCCAGUCCGUCCGCAAGCAUGCUUGGUCGGUGACACACCCUAACGGAAUUAAGCCAUUCCCCCUGGGAGAUACGGUCCCAAGAAUAAAUCUCAA
rnacentral:rRNA from 1 species